rnacentral:lncRNA from 1 species
UCGACAAUGAGAGCAGAGAGACGGUGGGAAGUCAUGAGAGAGAGUAGGGUUUGAUGGAGAGAAGGGAGAGAGCGAACGGUGGUGGCUGUCAUGAGUGUUUCGGGUUUGGUGUUGGGUGGGAGGUCGGAGAGGGUGAUCGGAGGAAGGAAGACGUGGGAAAUGCCAUGAGGUAGGGAGGUGAGUACGGUGGUUUGAGCCUUUGAAGGUGGACCGUCGUUGGGGAUGAUGAAGGUGAUGGGAAGGUUAUGUUUGGAGAGUCUCUUGGCGAAUUCGACCAUUGGAAUGAGAUGUCCCAUUCCUGGAGUUGGAAACAUGGCUACUAGAGGUGGUAGUUCUUGUUUUGGUGUGGUCCUGGAUUGUUGUUGAUAUUCCAUAUUUGAAGAUUGAAGGUGAUAAUGAUUAUGAUAAAAAAAAAAAGUGAAAGGAUUUAUGCUUUUGUGCUUUUGGUUGGAGCAAAGGUCGUGUUGCUAUUUGAGUUUGGAAACAAGAGUGCUGUGGAACACUAUGCCUGUUGGUGAGAAUUGAUGGAAGGAGUAAACGAGUAAGUGUGAAGUCGUGGGUGAAUUCAGACAGAGAAUUCUUCCACUUGAAUAACCGAUGUAUUUGAUCUAUUAGAUUAAAUAUAUACAAUAAUUUAAAAAAAAAUUAUACUAGUUGUAUAUCAAAAUUAAACUCACAAAAUUGACUGUGAGUUCGUUAAUUAUGUAUAAUCGAUUCUAUAUAAAAGUGUAUAGAAAAUAAAGUGUGAGUUUAUGUUUUAUUAUAUUUUAGAAGUAAGUUGUUGAAUAAUAAAAUUGAUUGUUUUUUUUAAGGAAAAAUUGAAUGUUAAAACCAAUUUUAUAAUUUAAAGCUCUAAUUUUUAGCUUCAAGUAAAAUUUAUUUUGAAAGCAAAAUCAAUUUUAGCGAAAAUAAUUAAACAUAUUUAAAUCAACUCUACACUUUUAAAAUCAAUUUUAACCACUUUAAAAAUGAAAUGAAGAAUACACUCAGGUAAAUAUUGUUGAUUCAAAUAAAAAAAGAGUUCUUAUACAUGAACCACCUUAGGUGACAUACAUCCUUUUACAUCCACACACAUUUGUGACACGUGACAAAAAUAUUGAAAGAAGAGAUGAAAAAGGGUGGUGAUAUGAUAUAAAAUUACUAAAAUAUCCCUAAUACAUGAGGGUGUACAUAAGAGAUGUAUGAAAAAGGGUGUCUACCUAUCUUUUUCCAUAAAAAAAUUCAUAAAAGCGAUGAUGACCACGACGACUCAAACUGUAAUGGAGUUGUCCUAUUAUAUGAGUACAAUUUCAAGGAGCUGAAGCAAAUAAUUGACAGAGAAAGAAAACAAAAUACUAAUAUUUUGAAAUGAUAUGGUGUAAGUAUGUGGUGGAGAAUAAUCAUCUCAUGGAACACGAGAAAAGAAAUGCUGCUAAACGACGACUAUCAUGUUUUGUGUGGAGUCUGCUACACUUUUAGUAUAGUCUAUAUCAUGUUAGCCAAAUUCACUGAUUCACACAGCUAUGGAAGUGGAACCAUUAAUAUAAAUUCAGACAAUUAUGGAGUCAUUAGUUUAAGACAGUUUACUAACCUAAAGUCAAAAUGUAGGUCAUCUUAUCAUAACAAGAUGAUGUGCCUGAAUUAAAUUUGUGAUUCACUAAAUAUAGAAACUUUAAGAUUUCAAUGGAGAUUUCAAAUAGGGGAAAGAAAAACACAAACAUUCAAAUAUAAAUAUUAGUAUUUUAAUAUUCAUGUAUUUCUCAUCCCUAUUUUGAUAUGUUCCAUAAGUGGAGAUAAUCCAUCUGGAUUUUUUUGGAUCUAAUAACUAGGCUACUAAACUCACCCAUUAUAAGUGUGGAAAAGUGGAGAUCUUCGAACUCUGACCCCUGCACUUCAAUGUUCAUAAAACUACUAAUUGAACUACAUACAUUUACAGAACUACCCCGGAGACACAAGGAGGGUUGAGGACCUUCCGUAUGCAUGUCCUGGUUAUUUGCAGACAGAAAAGAUAAUGCUGACAGACGAUGGCUGUGUGAGGAGCAUGUUCUCCAGAUAUUAUAAGGAAUGCAUGUUCCUGGUAAUUAAGAUGGAAGCUACGUUGCUGAGAUCGCCUGAAGAUAUUCUAAACAAUUUGAUUCUGCCAAAAAUUAUGUUUAGGUAGCAUCAUUAUGAUGUAGUGUCUUUAUUUUGUUGGAAUUUAAGUUUAAUUCUAGUUAGUUUGCUGAAGAUGUUGGCAUUGAAUUGUCUUAUACUAAAUGUAGUGAUUUGCAAGCCUCUUUGAAAAGUCAAAAGAUUAAGAGAGCACAACAUGUAUUCUGCCGAAUCAACUAUAUAGGUUACAACAUCGAAUUCCAUUGUAUAGGAUGAGUGUCACGGAAGGGAAUGCACCUCUAAGAGGUUAUUUUAAGCUUGAUCAUCCUACUUUGUCAAUUAUAUUGAAACUUGUCAGUUGGCAGAGCAGUACAAUUAAGUUCAAAACAACAUCUUGGAAUGCAUUCCUUUCUGUGAUGGCUCGUCCUAUAUGAAGAGAUUCGAUGUGAAAACAUAUAUAGUUGAUUUGGUAGAAUACUAGUGUUGUGUUCUCUUCAUUCUUUUGAGUUUUCAAAAGGCACUUCAAAUCACUACGUUAAGUGUAAGACAGUUCAAUACCAACAUUUUGAGCAAACUUUCAAGAAUUUAAUUUAAACCCAACAUCAUGAUGAUACCACAUAUAUUUAGGGAGAAUGUAAUGUAGAUGAAAUUAAAACUAAAUAAAAUUGUGUAUUUGUUGAAUUGAUUUUGUGUACUUGUGCAACUUUAUUCAAAUUUAUUCAAUACGCAACUUUAUUCAAAACGCAACUCUAUUCAAAUUUAUUCAAGUCAUUACAUUUAAAAGGAAUGUAAAAAAAAACAUCCAACUUUAUUACAAGCCAUUACAUUUAAUUAUCUCCUUUGUCGCUUAAGUCAAUUAGGUUGUCAUUGACAGGGCACCUGCUUUUGGGUCAGGACCAAAAUAACAAGUCCUUCCGCUCCUCCUCGGCCUAGAAUGAUUGUACACCGGCACCUUCGAAUUGCUUUUUUUUACGGAACCAUCACAUUCGAUUUUGUGCCAUGUCAGAGUCGAUUUUGCUUUCUUCUUCUCACACUCAUUUUUCAACUGAGCAUCACCUUGAUUCUUAGACAUAUCUACACAAUGCAAAUAUCGGAGAAGGAAGAUGAGGAGAGAGUGUGAGAAAUAGUACAGGUUAGAAGGGUAUUUAUAGGGGAAUGGAUUUCUAGGUUGUAUCUAAGCAUUAUGGUGAGUCAAAAAACGUGUAAAAAAGUUUUACCAUCUGACCACCGUCCAAAAAACGUGUUUUAUGUGGUGCAGAAGAUGUACGAGUUAACUUACGCCACCGUCCAAAGGUGCGUGAGUUAAGUCACGCGCUCAGCCAAAAGUGCGUGAGUUAACUCAUGCAAGGGUACUUUGAUCAUUUCAGUUGGGAGGGAGCGUUUUUUGUUGGGAGUUCCCUCACCUUGACCAUAGUUGAACAUUGUUCUGGAUCGACCCAAAGGUAAGGUGGUCAAAGCGCUUACUUUAAUCUAAAAUCUUUUAGUUCUUGAAAAGUAAAAAUCAAACUUCUCAAGAACUAAAGUAAGGGCUUUAACCACUUUAGCUUAAGAAGUAAAAAUCUAAAGGCCUCAAAGAAAUAACACAAAUACCCUUGCCUCAAACAAUUUUCAGUAUAAUUGCGCUAUGGUUAAACAAUUUUCUUCCCCCCAUCACUCAUGUCCACGGUCUUAGGAUCAAAUCUGCUUUGUAGCAUUUUAACCUUGAUUUUUUUUUCUCUCUUUUUUUAGAGAAGCAUUUUAACCUUGAUGUUAUGUUAUACUUUUGACGGAUGCAUUUUCUUUUAAGUGUUUUUUUUUAUAUAUAUAUAGUUUGAGAAUUUUAUUUAUUUUAACUUAAUAAAAAUUGUUCCCAAUAAUCAUAUUAGGAGAACUAAAAAAAUAAUUAUUAACUUUAGUGAAUUGAUAGAUUUUAAAUUUUCCUACUAAAAAAAAUAAUUUCACUUUAUUUUUUGUAAAAAUUUUAUGUUACUGUUUCUUGCAUAUAUGAAAGCCUCAUUUCUAAUGCAUACUUUUCGCCUCAUAAUAGGUUGAGUCGGCCUAACAUUAUUUGACAGAGGAGAAAUUCUUGUGUAGAAACGUAUCUAACAUAUGUCAUUUACAAACAACGAAUAAGAGUGUGACACAUAAUUAACUUAAAAAAAAGAGUAAAAUAAAUUUACUAAAAAUCAGAGUCCUCUUUUCUCUUUCUUCCACCGCUGUUUCUCUAUCUUCAACCAUUGUUUUCGGCUCAAGAUCAUUGCCGUUAUCAAUGAACAGACUACUAUUUAGAAGAAGAAAAAAUCUUCAUCUUCUUCCUAUCAAGACUAUCCUUAAAUCCAACCCAAAAAUACAUUUCUUUCACCAUUGUUCCUUAAAUAGCAUUAUUGUUGGGGAACCAUAUAUGCCAGAAAAAAUAGAUGAUGGGAGAGAGAAGGAGCAGUUUUUCAUUUUUUUACUAAACAAUUACUUUUUCAAUUUUUAAAGAUGUGCUUGAUUUAAUUAGGUGUCACACUUUUAUUCGUUGUUUGUAAAUGACAAGUGUUAAGUGCGUUUCUACACAAGAAUUUCUCUUGACAGAGUAUUUUCCAUUUGACUAAUGGCCAAUUUGGAUAAUGUUUAUUUUAAUAGACGAAAUGGCAAACUAACUAUGAAGCUUACACACACAAAUGGAAGGGCCCAUAUAUUUUAUAAGUUGAGUCGAGUCUUGUGUUGUGCACAAUUUACUACUCUCAACGGCGAAGCUACCACAAUCUUUAUGAGAUGGUCAAAUAUAAAGAAGAAAUAAAAUAUAUUUUUAAAACUAAUAUAUUAAACUUAAGGGUCCCUUUAAUAUUGUCCUUUUGGUUAAGGGCCCAGCCAUAGACCUCUCCCAGUUACCGGCUAUAACCUGUUCAAUUUAUUCAACUUUUAUUUAUUUAUUUAUUUAUUUUCUGCUUCUAUCAUCUCGAAGAAAUCCCAGGGCCAACUGGUACUACUAGUACUUUCCUAGUUUUGAUAAACAUGUUUCUUUGUUUAAUAACUAUUAAUUAAACAAUAUAAACUAUUAAUUCAGUUUUUUUGCAUUUUUUAAGUUCUAAUUCCCGUUCGAUUAACAACUACUGAAAAUUUGUAAAUCAACUUGAUAAAAACUCAAAAAAGUGAUUUAGUACCUUCCAUUCUUAAAUCAGCAGCAUGCUAGAUACUAUCUCAACCAUGUCAAAAACAAAAACCUUCUUAUUUUAAUGAAGAGAAAGCGAAGCAAAUAAAAUCUAACAAUAAUUAUUUAAAAAAGUUAAGCCCUAUGAAGUUUUAAGAAGUCAAAUUUAUAAUUGGCACAAAACUAAAUAAAUUAUCAAUAUUUUAAUAGUAUCUCUCUUUAAACCAACAAAAUUGUUUGGAGUAGUCAAACAAUAUAUCAAUGAGUAGCUACAUACAAAAUUAUACUAAUUAUAAGAUUAUGUUUUCUUUUGCCCAUUGACAUGAAGCCAAUUCCCCCUGGUUAUCUCUAAGCGUAUCAUGUUGUGUAUCAUAAUGAAAUCAUUAAAAAAAAAAUAGAAAAAUAUAAUUUAUAUUUUCUUUUGAAGGAAAAGAUUAAUUUAUAUGGAAUGAUAUUAUAAAACUCUUCUAGAAAUUCAAUCAAAUCACACAAAGUAUAUAUUUCUAAAUAUAUUUUAGGAACAACUUAAAUAUAUGGCAUCAUUCAAUAUGAUUUGAUUAAAAAGUUUUACACGGUUGGUGUAAACACAUUAAAUCCUAACCUUAAACAAUGUUUUAUUUAAAUUCCAUUAUAUUAUUAAAUAAAGAAAUAAAAUCUCUAUUUAAACAUAUCUAAAUGGUAAGCAAGACUAAAAAUAUCUUCAUCUAGUAAUAAAAUUAUGAUUAACAAAUUAAAUGACAUAACCAAAUUAUAACUAACAAAAAUAAUGGCAAAGGGCAAGAGGACGAAAUUCAUUGAAAGAAGAAUAAAUGAAAUGCAACUUCAAUUUGGUAUUGUCACACCUUUCCAUUUGAGAGCUAAUUCACAUAUUUGCUUUGUUGAAGACCCAUUUUCCUUUAGAGCAUUAAUAGCUGCUUCUUUGAGAUCCUUCAUUCUAUAACGAAUCUUUUGCUCUUCCUCUCCUACCAUUAACCUCUUCACAACACUUGCAAUUUCUUCCCUUUGAACCAACCCAUUUUCACCAACUUUAGGUCUAAUAGCCACUUUAACAUUUUCACUCAAUAAAACAGCAUUCAUCUUUUGCUCAGCAUAGAGUGGCCAUGCAAUCAAAGGCACACCAUUCACCACACUCUCAAGAGUUGAAUUCCAACCACAAUGACUCACAAACCCUCCAAUUGAGAUAUGACUCAAAACUUGUGCUUGUGGGGCCCAAUAUGGGAGCACUAAACCCUUCCCUUUAGUCCUCUCUGUAAAACCAUUUGGUAAAAAUUCAAAAGGGUCAACAUUACUAUUAGCAAUAAAAUUAGAAUCAUUUUCAACUUUAUCCUUAGGACACCUUAAAACCCACAAAAAUCUUUGUUCACUCAUUUCCAACCCAUAAGCAAUUUCAUCUGUUUGAGCACUAGUAAGGAUCCCCUCACUACCAAAAUUCACAUAUAUUACACUUCCACGUGGCUGCUCAUCCAACCAUUGGAAACACAUAUCAAAUUCAGAUCCAUUAUUAAUAGAGUCUUCAUUCACUAACGGUCCAACCGGAUAAACCGGUGGUUCAUUCUUUUGCAAAAAAGUAAUAGCCUCCGGUUCAAGUUCAAAAAAACUAUUCUCUAUUAUUCCUUUAGCCAACCUGUGUCUUGUCAUUUGGUGGAGAAAACACUUGUAGGCUUCGUCCUUUCGAUCCUGAACCGGGUCUGGUAAGUCUUUCCCGUGAACCGCAAAACAUCCUGGGAUGUUAAGCGGUUCAAGGAUAUCCCUAAACUCACCCUGAACUUUUUGGUCGAGUUGGGGAAAAUAAAAGGCAAAGGACAACAUAUUGGCAGUGGAAGGGAAGUAGAGAUACGAAGGGAUAUCUAGUUCAGCGGCCAUGUCAAAGGCAUCGGUACCAAAUAGGUCGAUAAUGAGAGCAGAGAGACGGUGGGAAGUCAUGAGAGAGAGUAGGGUUUGAUGGAGAGAAGGGAGAGAACGAAGGAUGGUGGCUAUCAUGAGUGGUUCAGGUUUGGUGUUGGGUGGGAGGUCGGAGAGGGUGACCGGAGGGAGGAAGACGUGGGAAAUGCCAUGAGGUAGGGAGGUGAGUACGGUUGUUUGAGCCUUUGAAGGUGGACCGUCGUUGGGGAUGAUGAAGGUGAUGGGAAGGUUAUGUUUGGAGAGUCUCUUGGCGAAUUCGACCAUUGGAAUGAGAUGUCCCAUUCCUGGAGUUGGAAACAUGGCUACUAGAGGUGGUAGUUCUUGUUUUGGUGUGGUCCUGGAUUGUUGUUGAUAUUCCAUAUUGAAGAUUGAAGGUGAUAAUGGUUAUGAUAAAAAAAAAAAGUGAAAGGAUUUUAUAUAUGUUUUUGUGCUUUUGGUUGGAGUGAAGGUCGUGUUGCUAUUGAG